UACGUAGGGAGCAAGCGUUGUCCGGAAUCAUUGGGCGUAAAGCGCGCGUAGGUGGCUUCAUAAGUCCGUUGUGAAAGUCAAAGGCUCAACCUUUGAAAGCCGAUGGAUACUGUGAAGCUAGAGUACGGAAGAGGCGAGUGGAAUUCCUGGUGUAGCGGUGGAAUGCGCAGAUAUCAGGAAGAACACCCGUGGCGAAGGCGGCUCUCUGGGACGGUACUGACGCUGAGACGCGAAAGCGUGGGGGAGCGAACAGG
rnacentral:rRNA from 1 species